rnacentral:lncRNA from 1 species
GCACUCAUUUCAGUCCCUUUUUUUAUUAUUUUGUGGAUUUGCCCCCAAAUUUCUGUUUUAAGUUCAAAUUAGCCAUUUUUAUCAUUUUUGCUAUUAAAUUGAUUAAUUUUAAUAGUAUUACCAUUAUUUUUACUAUUAUUAUUAUUAUUUUUAAUAUUACUAUUACUAUUAUUGUAUUUAUUUUUAUUACUUACUUUAUUAUUAUUAUUAUUAUUAUUAU